rnacentral:rRNA from 1 species
GACGGAGGGUGCUAGCGUUGUUCGGAAUCACUGGGCGUAAAGGGCGCGUAGGCGGCCUCAGGUGUCGGAUGUGAAAGCCCGGGGCUCAACCCCGGAGGUGCAUCCGAAACUCUGGGGCUGGAGGUCGGAAGAGGAGGGUGGAAUACCCAGUGUAGAGGUGAAAUUCGUAGAUAUUGGGUGGAACACCGGUGGCGAAGGCGGCUUUCUGGUCUGCUCUUGACGCUGAGGCGCGAAAGCUAGGGUAGCAAACGGG